AUUUCUACGAUUGUGUUCAUCAGAAAGGAGAAAGUCAUAUACACCUAGGAUGGCUUGAGGUGGAAGAGGAAAAAGGUGCAAAAGAUGUGGAACUGUGAAGAUUAGAUGUGAGUGGUCAUUAAGAUGGCAAUGAAAGAAAGAGAGAGAUAGAGGAGGAGGAGGAAGUGAAGGUUAUUUCCCUAUAGGUCUCAUUAAAGGCUACUUAUCCCCUUGCUCUUGCCCUGCGGAAAUGGCCCUGAGGGAGCCCACAGAAUGAGAGAGAGAGAGACAUAUGGAGGGUUACAUUAAACAAUGUACCAAUCGAACACGAAUAAACACUUUAAAACAUCAUGUUACAUUUGCAUACAUGAGACUGCUUCAGAACUUCUUUAUCACUGGUUUUUUUUAGCAUAUUUUCAUGAUAAUGUAUUGAAAUUGAAAGUCACAAUGGUGUUUUACAAUGGUGUUUAUAUCUUUACUGAACAUCAUGUAAUUAUUCUCUGAUUUUGAGAUGUUGGUUGAGCUGUCCAGCCUUUUUGAGUUUUUAGAAGUUGGGUGCAACAAGACAACAACCUAAAAGCACAGGAUUAUAUCAAAAACAACAGAAUGACUUCAGCAGACCCGGUCCUGACCUCAACUCAACUGAGAUGCUUUGAUAUGAUCUUAGGGGUGUGAUUCAACUCAUGACAUCCCAAGAUUAUUGCGGAGCUGAAACAGUUUUGUAAAACAAAACAGUGCAGAAUUCCUCAUGACCUCCAGCAAGUCUGAUCCGCAAUUACAGGAAACAUUUGGUUGAGGUUAUUGCUGGCAAAGGAGCAAACCGGUUAUUAAAUCCAACUAUUCUUAUUCUGUUUUUCAAUCUGCACUGUGAAUGUUUCCAUAGUGUGUUAUUUGUUUAAGCAGACUAUGUUUGUCCAUUGUUGAUACAAUUUUAUGAACAUUAAAUCUACAUGUAAAUCAUAUUUCCUACAACUGUACACACUGGAUUUCUGUAAUAGUUCAGGCUUAUCUAGAGUAAGGUAAAAAAUAUUGAUUUGUCAUGCACAGCAAUCAUUACGUGUUAUAUCAGCAAAUUUUGGCUUUUUUUUCAGGCUAAUCUAAGACAUAAUGAGGGACAACUAAACACAAUUAUGUGCAUUUUUUGUAAUGGUCACAAUAGCAAAUAUGUCCUAAACGUGACUAUAUUCUUUCCUGAUUGUUAUUUGAUAAAGACUCAUUGGUUGGUCUGACAGUCAAAAGUGCAAAAAAUAUGAUUUUGUUCAUGUAUGUACAGUAUAUGCACAAUUUCUUUCCUCCUGAGGGUGUUGGACAUACAGUAAUAGAGAUGCUGAUGCUUGUGCAAUAAUGUAAAAUGAUUUAUAACGCACUUAGCCAUGAAAUCUCAAAGAUUUGUUCCCACUAACUUAGUACAAUAAAUGGACUAUGAGGGCCAGUCUCAUUGGAGCAGAACAGUUUUAACUAUUAAACCAACUAUUAAGCAUUUUUUAUAUUUUAACUUUAACUGUAUGUUGUACCUCUUGGCACCGAGCUUAAUGAGGAAAAAGUAGAGAGGGAAAGAAUAGAAAUCAAAGUAAUGGAUUCAAAACAGAAUAUUAGAUAAAGAACAGAGAAAAACAAGUAUGAAAAAGCCAAACGAUGGAAAACUGAGGGAGAGAUGAAGCUCUUAAACAGAAUCUUUAUCAACUUAGACCAUGGGAUGAAAGCAAAGACAUUUAGGUGCAUCUUGUUUAAUCAAAUAAUCUGUUUAGAACCUUUAUCUAUAAAUUGUUCCUCAACAUAGGAUGUCAUGCUUAUUGUCAGGGGGGAAAAAGAGGACAGUAUUAUGAAGAAGUCUGUAGUUUGGAUCUGAAAAUAACAGCUCUUAGAUUAACCGCCAAAUUACUGUAAUUAGAUAUCAUUAUAAUAAAUCAUUUUCCAGGUUGAUUAUCAUUCUAACAAAAUUAUUGUAAUCACAAGGGUACAAAUGAACUCACAUCUGCAUCUGUGUUGUGCACCUUUUUUUUUUUUAAUCAUUUGCAUUUGUGUGCGUACUGCGUAGUGUUAAAAGGAUAGUUUACUCAACAAUGAAAAUUCUGUCAUUAUUUACUAACUCUCAACUUGUUUCAUUCCUGUAUAGCUUUUAAUCUUCCAUUGAAGGCUGCAGCAACUAAUCAAUAAAAUCGAUAAUGAAAAUCGUCCACAAUGAAUGGCAUUAUCGAUUAGUCGCGUCUGCCCAAACUUCCGCCAGUCGCGUCAAAAUUACAGCACUGAAUAAUGCAUUUCUAUGGACAAAAUGCAUCUAAAAAUAGUGGAGGAAUAGUUGAGCUCCUGCGGGAAAGAUGUGGUCACAUCCAUGUUUACUAUAUGGAAGAAGACUGGCUGCAUCCGAAAUUGCAUACUUCCCUACUACGAAAAACAGUAUAUGACCUAGCAGAUGACCUACUACUCCCGGCGAGAGGAUACGCAUACGAUGGACACUUUACUAUCCCAUGAGACCACGGGAGAGGAUUUGUGAAUGGCAGAGAAGUGGCAUAACUGAUGCUGGUUGAUCACAUGAUAAUGGCAGCAUGGUGAACGUAGUACAUCCGGAUUAUAUUCAUACUACACACAGUCAUGCUAUAUAGAAUGUACUUUUUUUAGCAGCUGUAAAUGAAUUACUUAUUCAAAAUAAGCACCAACUCAAGAGAGUCUGCGAUUUCGGACGCAGAAAUGAUGUUUUUUGACUUCAAAAGAGGAAAGAAAGUCUUAUGGGUUUCAAAAGGCAUGAGGGUGUAGAAAUGAUGACGAUAUUAUUUUUAGGCAAACUAUUCCUUUAUGCAUAUGCAAGAUGUUUCACAUGUACGCACUGAAAUUGAGUGAUCUUGACAUGCCAAAUUGUAUGUGGAGUCAUCCACUACACCUAUGACCUCUCCAGCAGAACUGCCCCCAGUGCACAUACACUCCUUAAGAUCACACUGAAACACGUACACCAUACCAUAGCGCACAUAGGGACUGCUGAGAUGUUUCUAUGGCAACCUGCAGCUUGCUCCACUAAUGAACUGGUUGCCAUGGUGAUGGGGAUUGGCUGUGCGCAAAGUGAGAGACUGAAUAACAGAGGGAGGAAGAAAUUUCACACUUCUCUGUGCCACUGCACAUACACACACACACACACACACACACAUGCAAGAGGACCGUGGUAGAGCGAGCAGGAAACUGACCGUUUCGGACUUAAACCCUAAACACAACCACGGACCAAUCACAGCAGCUCCUCAAGGUCAGAGGAUGGGAUUUAAUUCCAGCACUCCGCUGCAGGGCCAUCCCAGUUUCACAGUUCCUGGAACAGCACUGCUGUCCCAAAAUCCAGCCUGAGCAGCUUGAAGCUAACAUGUCCCUUAGCCCGGAGCUAGUGCUCAAGCUAGGAGGCUACAAGGAGGUUUAGGCAAUGUCAUAGCAGGAACUGUGCGGAGUGGGGUGUGCCUCAAGUCACAUAGGAAUUCCUGAUGUUCCUAAUCAUCUAUUACGGCACCUGAGCAGGCUAUGGAUUAUAGCUAUUACUGCAGGCUAAUUAAUCAAUUAGCAUUGCCAUUUAGCACUACCAAGGUGACCAAAGUCUUAAAUGAGAUGUUAAUGAAGCUGAUGGACAGUUGCUGGUCUGGGGUCUGCUAAUCCCACAAGCAGUGCUGUUUCACCUGAGUGAAUCACAACGUCUCCCUCUAGUGCACAUUGGACAGAAAUGUCUUUUUUUUCCCUUUAGAGUCAAUAGGGAUAAACAUGGUCCGAUUUUGUAGUUAUUAUUAAUUAAGAAAAAAUUAAGUAUAUUUGUUUAUAUCUUCAAAUAAAGAACAAAAGAUCCACA